AUUGAACGCUGGCGGCAGGCUUAACACAUGCAAGUCGAGCGGAGAUGAGGUGCUUGCACUUUAUCUUAGCGGCGGACGGGUGAGUAAUGCUUAGGAAUCUGCCUAUUAGUGGGGGACAACAUUCCGAAAGGAGUGCUAAUACCGCAUACGCCCUACGGGGGAAAGCAGGGGAUCUUCGGACCUUGCGCUAAUAGAUGAGCCUAAGUCGGAUUAGCUAGUUGGUGGGGUAAAGGCCUACCAAGGCGACGAUCUGUAGCGGGUCUGAGAGGAUGAUCCGCCACACUGGGACUGAGACACGGCCCAGACUCCUACGGGAGGCAGCAGUGGGGAAUAUUGGACAAUGGGGGGAACCCUGAUCCAGCCAUGCCGCGUGUGUGAAGAAGGCCUUAUGGUUGUAAAGCACUUUAAGCGAGGAGGAGGCUACUGAGACUAAUACUCUUGGAUAGUGGACGUUACUCGCAGAAUAAGCACCGGCUAACUCUGUGCCAGCAGCCGCAGUAACAC
rnacentral:rRNA from 1 species